CUUUCCCUGGGGCCUUUCUACCCCUAGGUGUUGAGACAACAGGGUCUCUUUCUAUCUUCAAGAGGGAAGGAUGGCAGCCUCCUUUCAUAGACCAGGGGACAAGGGCACAAGGCACCCACAAGUCAGGAGGAGACUGGGCACUGUGUCUCCAUCCCUGCUCUCAACCCACACUCAGCUGGUCUCCCCGUGAGCCCUGGGAGCUGCCAGGGACAGGGUCCCAGAUGGGGCGACAGAGGGUUCCCAGGGCUUCCUUUGGGCUUGUGGUGACGUCAGGCACAACAAGAUGCCCCGCGCACCUCCGCGCUUCCUUCCCCCUCUUUAGGAGCCGCUCCAGAGGAUCCCGACUUUGGACCACAUCCUUCUUCAUUGCACCAGGAAGACGAAUGAAGCUCACUUACUCUGGAGAUAUAGGGGCCUCGCCAGGCCCAGAGGGCAAGGUGGACGGUCUGGGAAUACUCACCAUCUGGGAGCCAGGCACGCUUGGAUCAGAUUUCAGGAAACCCAGCCGACUCACCCAGAGAUGCACGCAUACACGCACGACAGGCUCACUCACACAGGACACGUGCCCACCACAGACGGACACACAUUCUCACCUCUGAGCAGCACCCAGCAUCCCCGCUCUAGCUGGACUCACUUGAAUGACUCAACCUCUGUGUCUUACUCCCUGGUGUCCAUCUAGAAUCCCCUGGGGGCCCUGGGCUAUUGAUGGUAUCACAGAAGGACCCCAGGCUCGGCUCCAUUGGGUCCCCUCGUGAUGGGUGCUAGGCGCCUGUGGUGGACCCCUGACCGCUUGGUGAUUCCCACCAGCAUCUGGGAGGCGGAAGGCUGUGCUGGGGGAAGCAAGGACCCAUGCGGAGCUCUGUGGAAGCCAGUGUGGAAACCAUGACCCCAGGCUGAAAAGUGGGUACCCUGCUUCAUUUUUCUUCUUCUGGGAAGACAGGGUUCCAGAAGGGGCAGCCCCAUCGUACCACCAGACCUUGUCUGAAGCUUCCUCUGUCCUCCGGACCCACUGGGGUCACCCAGGCCUGUUGACUGGAGGCAGGAACUGUGGCCAACACAACCUGGGUCUCACUGGGCCUUUGCUGAAUCUGGGCCAGGCCCAGGGGCUUCUGGCCACAUCACGUGCCAAAUGAUGGAAAGAACAGGUAACUCAAGGUGACAGAGAUGGGCCACACACUCUGUCUCCCUGUGGUUUGUGCUCCUGGGAGGCCCUCUGUGUGUCCCAGGGGCCCUGCUCAGGCAUGGCGGGGCUCCUUCAACUGCUGUCCUAUUCUGAUGGCCCUUAUUUCUAACUUCAAUUCAGGGUAUAGGCCACUGGCCAGCACAUAAGAGACGACCACUCACAACCUAAUUCCUGGCACCCAGGGCUCAGCUGGGCCUGCGCCGCAGGAGCCUCCUAGGAUCUUGAAUAUUUUUGGCUCCUUGGGACCUUGUUCUUGCUUCCCAGCCCCUCCUCAGGCUCCCCCACUGGUCCCUUUCAACCCCACACUGAAGACACAGCCUGUUCCCCAGGAAGGCCCGAGUCUGGCAACGGGCUCCAUGCCCAGAGGACCCAGCUCUGGCCACUCUGUCUCUGGCCUUUGGCGGCAGGAAACCGGCCACGGGUCCCUGCGUUCAGCUAGAGCCAGUCUUCUCCCCAGUAGCACACCGUCCACUCUGCUUCCCCGUGGUGCUCACACAUCCACACACAAAAGCAAAGAAAUACAUGCAGGCCUUCCUGGUCUCCAAAAUACCAAAGCUGCUUCCCUGAACAGGGAAGAAAUAUGGCCUUGGGCUUCCUCCCCAUCCCAUGACUCAGGGCUGGAGGCCACCUGACACCCGUACCCAAUAGGUGUUAAGUGUCUACUUCCUGCAGAAGGAGCCUAAGGUAUUUCUGUGGGGAAAGAAUGUCUGUAUUUUUGGACUCAAAGGCACUAACACCAUGUUCUGAGGUUUAUACAUAAAUAUCGUUUUAGGGAACUAGUCAUGUCUCUAAGGAAGAAAAAUAAACCACUGCAAAGCUGCUCCGUGUGGGAGAAGCAGCCGUUAUCCACCUGUGCUCUGGGCUCAGCAGACCCAUCAGAGGGCUGCACUGCUCUGAAGGCCAAGGCCAACACCUCCAAGGGCCAGGAGGGCAACGAGACUGAUAGAAAACAGAAGGAUGAGUUGUGCAGUCUUACCUGGUGGCCCUGACCUAACUGAUGUACUUGAUGGAUGGAGAGAGAGCAAAGACUUAUCCCCAAGGGACCACCCAGUUCACCAUUAAGAGUCUAGACUUCCAGAGGAAGUGAGGUACCCCUCAAGCUGGAGAAAGGAUGUGCGGAGCUUUUACAAAAAACUGUAAAUAAAGGAAACACCGGAUGCAAAUGAAAGGGUAUCCAAGUCAAGCCAACAUUCAUUACCUCUUGGUGGCUGUUACAGAAUUGUUUAGUCCAGGAAACUAGAAGGACAAAGGUUAUCUCCUGCAUCCUGCUUAACAUUUUACAAAAGGAAAAGAAAACAACCUUGGGGUCUAUCUUUGCAUGACCUUCCCCUGACCUUUCCUGGCUACCCCAUCUGCACACCUGCAUACCUAGAGUGCUUCUUGGGAGCAGUUCCUCCACAACCUCCGGGCUUCCAGCUGCGCUAAACGGUGGGGUUAUGAAGCUGGGGCUGCCCAUCCUCUGUGGUUCCUGGUCUGGGAGGUGUCGGCACUGAACACCUGGCUUGCCCAAGACUGAGACCUACAAGUGCCUACGCUCAUAAAUGCCUCAAAAUGGGAAGAUAUCUCCCACCUUACAGUUGAGGGGGCCCGAGUCACUGUGUCGCGGGACAUCAGUGCAGAAGUGCCCCCUCCUGCCUCCGACUCUCGGAACCAUUAAGCUGAGGUUCUGGUUCACUCGUCUGCUUGUUCCUUCCUGGAAUCUGCUGAAUAGAUGGCUGGUCUUGGGGCUUUCAGGAGGCAUCCAAUUAAGUGUGAUUUUAAACAGAAUAGGGCUUGUCAAUGAGACCCUUCUCUUAGAUUCUCUCUGUCACCACGUCACUCUGUGAAGCCUCUGAUAUGAAGUCGUGAAGGGAGCCGUGCAAUCGGGAGAACUUGCAACAGAGUUGUGGUUCUGGUGGCCCAGAGUGUGCCCCUGAUCCCAAGGUGACCACCUUCUGGCUCUGCAAAGGCACUUGCCCCUCGCCCUGUCUGCUGGGGAAAGUCCAAGGAGGCGGUGACCCACAGCAGCUCUUAGGAGAGCUGAGAAAACUGCAUCACUCCUCAUGAGGAAGGGAAAGCGAUUCCUUUGGCUAGAACUCCACUCAGCAAGCUACGAGUUUGGGGUCCAAUUUAAAGGGCUCUCUGGGGCAAUCAAAGUAAUCCAGGUACCUGUGAGGUGGAGGCAAAGGGAUUUUGGCACUUUGUAGGAUACACAACUAUCAAAUAAAAUCCAAACACGCUGGUGAGUUCACAUGAACUGUUAUUUCCUUUAAUAAUGCGAAGGUGUAAACUUCAUCAAGGCCUCGCUGAUUAUCUACACAACAAUGUUAGCAUUCUUAUUAGUAGAAAAACGUGAUCCACACCUGCCGUAUAAAUAUUCCAAAAAACGAGCAGAGAAGCCCUGUGGCGUGUCGAGACUGGGCAGCACUGAGACAGGGCGCAGGGGCAGGGCGGCUGAGCGGGGCGGCGAGCGUUCCCUCCUUCAGGGCCUGUCUUAGGGGUUCCCGGCAGGGCUGAGGGCUGCAGCCACCAUGAGAGAACUCAGCGUCCGGUGGGAGCGGGCGUGCCUGAAUGCUGUCUCCCGAAGGGCAUCCCUUACAAACCAUGGGCCUGUCUGAAUGGGGCCAACGCAAUGACCCCAAAGUUGCUUCAGCUGAGGCCUGCUUGGCCCAGAAUGAGCUGAGGGGACAGGGUCAUGGAUGUCAGCCCUCCCCACACUUUGGGCCAGAUCUUCAGAAACACAGACAUAGGCCCUUGCCUAUGGGAUUGGGACCAGGGUGGGGCAGACCUCUGAGAUGGGCCCUCCUGGGUGAAUAUGCAACUUCUGCCAAAGAUGAUACCAAGAGCCUGCCGGGAGUCAGGGGACAGGGACGGGUGACCUGCAUGAGGACCACCUCUCCCUCCUUUGCCCUCCUAAUGGCCCUGGGAUUCUACACCGGGCCCGGAGGCACCAUGGGCCUCUUCUCGAUACUCUGCCUUGUGCCUAAGAACCGUGUCUGCUCCUGCUGCCGUGGUGGGACGGGAGAUCGGGGAUCCCGGGGGAGAGGUUCAUGGCGGGGCUGGAGGCCAACGGGGCUGGGGUGACAGGCGCUGCCUGGCUGAGCUGUUGGGUAACCUGUGGCCUCCGGUGUGUGUACCUGACCCUCUAAACUGCCAGCACUGGGGACACGGGCCUGUGCCCACUGACACGGGCAGCUCUGCCCUGCAGACCAUAGGAUCAUUUGGAUUCCCAAAGAGAAAGGCUCGUCUUU